GUGUAUUUUAAUAUUAUUUUCUUCAUUUGCAGAGCUUGCUUUGUGAGAUGAGACAUGCAAAGGAAAUAUCAAUGCAGAGUUUAUUCGCAUCACAAGCAAAAACCUCAAGCAAGAAUUUUUUACAGCACUUGAUCAACAUACAGCUCCAUUUCUGGCAGUUGGAAAAAAAAACUUUCUGAAUUUGUGGGCACUGACAUCACUGCAAAUCGCACAGCAGUUCUUUGUGGACUUCCCCUCAUUUUUGGAGAAGACACCUCAGACUUUUUCAAAACAAUAUUGGCAAGUACCAUUCUCUGUAUAUUUCUCUCUAAACUAAU